UACGUAGGUGGCAAGCGUUGUCCGGAUUUACUGGGCGUAAAGAGCGCGCAGGCGGUCGUUCAAGUCGCGUGUGAAAGCCCCCGGCUCAACUGGGGAGGGUCACGCGAUACUGAUCGACUCGAAGGCAGGAGAGGGUAGUGGAAUUCCCGGUGUAGUGGUGAAAUGCGUAGAUAUCGGGAGGAACACCAGUGGCGAAGGCGGCAUCCUGGACCGACACUGACGCUGAGGAGCGAAAGCCAGGGGAGCAAACAGG
rnacentral:rRNA from 1 species